UUGAAAGGGAAACGAUUGAAGUCAGUCGUACCUUCGAAGGAUCAGCCUUUCGGGUGCGAUUCUGUGGGGGNUNGNNGNGCUUAACACCUUCAUGCUUUGNNUAUUCGUGCUCUUGGGUGUACUUGCCCGUGUGGNUGGUUAACAUCAAUUUUGGNGGUCAUAAAAUGACUGGGGGGAAUAUAGCUUCGAUCUUGUAUUGAAGUGUUAUAGCCUUCGGUAGAUGUGAUGAUCGAGAUUGAGGAUUGCAACGGAUACCCUUCGGGACUACCUGUCUGAUCUCUGAUCGUUGCUCUNNNGCCGAAAGCUUGCUUACGGUUAUCAAAGGCNAUGGGCAAUAGGUUAGAACGGGUUAAAUUCGUUAAGGAUGUUGACGUA
rnacentral:rRNA from 1 species